rnacentral:rRNA from 1 species
UACGUAGGUGGCAAGCGUUAUCCGGAAUUAUUGGGCGUAAAGAGUGAGCAGGCGGUUAAUUAAGUCUGAGGUUAAAGCGUGGGGCUCAACCCCAUAAAGCCUUGGAAACUGAUUGACUAGAGUACGGGAGAAGUGAAGGGAACUCCAUGUGUAGCGGUGAAAUGCGUAGAUAUAUGGAAGAACACCAGUGGCGAAGGCGCUUCACUAGCCCGAAACUGACGCUCAGUCACGAAAGCGUGGGUAGCAAAUA